rnacentral:rRNA from 1 species
GAUGAACGCUAGCGGCAGGCCUAACACAUGCAAGUCGAGGGGUAACAGAAAAAGCUUGCUUUUUGCUGACGACCGGCGCACGGGUGCGUAACGCGUAUGCAACCUACCUCUUACUGGAGGAUAGCCCGAAGAAAUUCGGAUUAAGACUCCAUAGUAUGUACGAUUCGCAUGUUUUGUACAUUAAAGGUUACGGUAAGAGAUGGGCAUGCGUCCCAUUAGCUAGAUGGUAAGGUAACGGCUUACCAUGGCAACGAUGGGUAGGGGGCCUGAGAGGGUGAUCCCCCACACUGGUACUGAGACACGGACCAGACUCCUACGGGAGGCAGCAGUGAGGAAUAUUGGACAAUGGGCGCAAGCCUGAUCCAGCCAUGCCGCGUGCAGGAAGAAUGCCCUAUGGGUUGUAAACUGCUUUUAUUUGGGAAUAAACCUCCUUACGUGUAGGGAGCUGAAUGUACCAAACGAAUAAGCACCGGCUAACUCCGUGCCAGC